rnacentral:rRNA from 1 species
UACGAGAGGCCCCAAACGUUAUUCGGAUUUACUGGGCUUAAAGAGUUCGUAGGCGGUGCAGAAAGUGGGGUGUGAAAGCCCUCGGCUCAACCGAGGAAUUGCGCUCCAAACUACUGUGCUCGAGGAAGCUAGAGGUGAGCAGAACAGAUGGUGGAGCGGUGAAAUGCGUUGAUAUCAUCUGGAAUACCGGAGGCGAAGGCGGCUCACUGGGGCUUUUUCUGACGCUGAGGAACGAAAGCCAGGGUAGCGAACGGGAUUAGAAACCCGUGUAGU